rnacentral:rRNA from 1 species
GACGAACGCUGGCGGCGUGCUUAACACAUGCAAGUCGAACGAUGAACCCGGAGCUUGCUCCGGUGGAUUAGCGGCGGACGGGUGAGUAACACGUGGGUAACCUGCCCAUAAGACUGGGAUAACUCCGGGAAACCGGGGCUAAUACCGGAUAACAUUUUGAACCGCAUGGUUCGAAAUUGAAAGGCGGCUUCGGCUGUCACUUAUGGAUGGACCCGCGUCGCAUUAGCUAGUUGGUGAGGUAACGGCUCACCAAGGCAACGAUGCGUAGCCGACCUGAGAGGGUGAUCGGCCACACUGGGACUGAGACACGGCCCAGACUCCUACGGGAGGCAGCAGUAGGGAAUCUUCCGCAAUGGACGAAAGUCUGACGGAGCAACGCCGCGUGAGUGAUGAAGGCUUUCGGGUCGUAAAACUCUGUUGUUAGGGAAGAACAAGUGCUAGUUGAAUAAGCUGGCACCUUGACGGUACCUAACCAGAAAGCCACGGCUAACUACGUGCCAGCCGCCGCCGUAA